UACGUAGGGUGCAAGCGUUGUCCGGAAUUAUUGGGCGUAAAGAGCUCGUAGGCGGCUUGGUUAGUUGGGUGUGAAACCUCCAGGCUUAACCUGGAGACGCCACUCAAUACUGCCAUGGCUAGAGUCCGGUAGGGGACCACGGAAUUCCUGGUGUAGCGGUGAAAUGCGCAGAUAUCAGGAGGAACACCGGUGGCGAAGGCGGUGGUCUGGGCCGGCACUGACGCUGAGGAGCGAAAGCGUGGGGAGCGAACAGG
rnacentral:rRNA from 1 species